GUAUAAAAAGAAACUAACCACUUAAAACAAAAUAAAAAAGAAAGAGAGAGUGGUACACGGAGAAAGGAGAGAGAUAUGAGGUGCAUCGAAGACCCUAACACACAGUGAGACCGAGAGCGAGAGCGAGAGCAAGAGAUCCCAACAAUGGCGACACAUUUCAAGGAGAAAGGAGAGAAACCCGUAACUAGUCUCUCUUCUCAGAAACCCAAAAAUCAAAACCAAAUCCUUCCCCCAAGAUCAAAAUCCAAAACUUAGAUGAGAAAGAAGUAAGCGAUCAGAGGUGCCAUUCUCACGCAAUCUCCGAUUCUCUCAUACAAUGGCGACCGAUUCAUCAGACCAACUCAACUUCAACCCUACCACUACUACAGAAGAAAACCCAAAACAAACCCUAGACAACGACAUUGUACUAAGAGAGUUUGGUUGCAUAAAAGAACAGGUGGAGGGCGAAAAGAGUUGGAAUUUGUCAUGUUUGUAGGUGAAAAGGCAAAUCCUUGGAAGCAAUCUGAGUAAAAACAGUACUACCAGGAUUGAAACAGUUCAGGGCUAUUAUGUGAUUAAUUUUACAAUCUGCAUACUAUGUUAUCAACCACAUCUAUGCUGCUGGAUGCCACUUCUCUCUGUACAACAAUCUGUCACUAAACAGGUAACUAUCGAUUGUCAUUCACAUGGGCAACAAAGCUCUACAUCAACUUUGACAUUGACAUUCCAAAAGUCACAAAGGAAAUUAAGCCCAAAGGACCUCCUAAAGGGCUGGAUGGAUAACUUUCUUCCAUCAUAGAAAAAUAGUUGCUAAAAUAGAAGACUUGGAAGCAUAAAAAAUGCUUAAGAAUUAUGCACCAAGUUCUAUUCUCCGUACCCUUUUCUUAUUUACUUAAUUUUCUGUUUUAUUUCAGAUUAUGAGAGAUUUAAUUUUCUGUAUUUAGGCUAUGGUUUUGUAAUCUGAGCAUCCUAAGACUCUUAUAUCAACAUGAAUUUAAGUUUUUUAAUAUAUGUGAUU